rnacentral:tRNA from 1 species
UAAUUCCAUUUACGGGGUGUGAGUCCCCUCUUUACA